AACAAAUAACUUCAUAAGACUCGUAUAAUUUUGGGGAUAUGGCCCAUAAGUUUCUACCGGAUGACCAAUGCAAUCAUCCGACUAUGAGUGAAAGUCGCAGCGGU
rnacentral:ncRNA from 2 species